GAAAUGCGAUACGUAAUGUGAAUUGCAGCUCCGCGAAUCAUCAAAUCUUUGAACGCACAUUGCGCCUUUUGGCAUUCCAGAGGGCAUGCCUGUUUGAGAACCUUGACGUCCCUCACAACCCCCCAAGUCGCCCUUCACGGGGCGCUCGGGCGGCGUUAGUGGAUCUGGGCGGCUCCUCGUCUUCACGGGCGGGGCCGCUUGAAAGCCAACGAUCGGCUCAUGCCUCUUUGCACAUGGCCAAGACGUGAUAGUAUGGGCAACCAUUCCUGCGUCGACACGCCGACCGCGAGGGCAACUCUGAGACGACUCAACCGUCGCCAGGCGCCACACCUCUCCUCGGAGAGGGGGCGUAGACCUGAACACCUGGUCUCAAAUCAGACAAGACUACCCGCUGAACUUA
rnacentral:misc_RNA from 1 species